AAAGUAAAAAUAGAUUUUCUAUGUUUAGCUACGGACUAAAAAGAUUUUUACUUUU
rnacentral:tRNA from 2 species